rnacentral:lncRNA from 1 species
UGGCUAGUCUCUAUUAUCAAGAUGCUUUCCUUUAAACUCCCUUUUAAUGAGUAAUGUCUUCAAAAUCAUUAUUGCCAAUAUAUACACAUAUAUUUUCAAUGGGUUAUGGCCUCUUUCUUGCAAAAAAUGCAGUCCUGCUCUGUGCAGCAAUCGUCAGGCUUGCUCUAAUCCAUAAAUAUGAAAUUAAGUUCAAUAAUUUGUUUUAUGCAGGACCUAUACCUAUUAUUGCUCUUGGUUUUAUUGCAGUAAUGCUGCCUUUCAGCACUUAUCGAGCAUGGGUCUUCAUGGUUCUGCUCCUGCUUUGUAGCGUCCAUUCACUUCUUGCAGUACCAAUUCAGCCUGGUUCAGAACAGAGUGCAGAGGCAAGCAGCAAACCUAACAUGACAGUGAAGGGUGUAUUUGAAUCUUUCUUAAGCUUCUUCAGACCAAUGACUUGCCGCCUCAGCAAUGAGCGACUUUUAACUCCUUGUCCUUUAGAAGGCCUGAACAUGUCUGAAUGCUCAAAAAUUUACUGCUGUCCUUUCAAAAUUGGCCAGGAUGAGCAGUGCUACAUGCCAGUGAGAGAUGAUGUGCAGCUGGCCAUUCGAGUGAUUUUGCUUACCGGAGGAGGAUUUUUGAUUUUGGGAUUGCUACCAAUCUGUUGCUGUGCCUUUUUACAGAGAAGUCCAUGUAUCAAUCCUUUACAAAAGAUAAGCAAAAAAGUUCAGAAAAUUGCACGGGAAAAAAGAGCAUGUGAUGAAAAGACUCAUGAUGAAGAGAUUCAUCGCCACUUACUGGACUGACGUAAGAAAGAACCAAAAUAAUGAAAAAAAGAAGGCAUAUAGGAACAUCCACCUGAUCCUGAAGAUCAAGCAGAAGACACCAGGAUUAUUUGACUAUCUCCUAGAAAAUGACAUGUUUUAUUUUAACAUUGAAGUAAUACAAAGUUGUUAACCCUUGAUAGUAUUAUUGAUUUUGCAGUAAAAGUUUUUUUCAUUCUAGUUUCUUGCACUCAUUCCUGUAUCCUGUACCAAAAAAACCUGGUAACACCAAAAGGCAAACUGCCUUCAGCAACCCCUGAAUAGUAAAGCCAGUGUUCUUUUCAUACAGUAGUAUCCCUGUAGAGGGAUAUCAAGAUAGCAGUUAUGUGUCCAUCUCAAUUUAGGGGUCAGUCUUGGAUUCAGGGAGUGUUGUGGAGCAUUAAAUUUGUAUUGAGAAGAAGCUUGCUCUGAUUCCAUAUUGGAUGGCCCCACAGCACAGUAGUGCUACUCUUGCUGAGGAGAACAGAUAAUUUUUUAUGAGACUAUACAGGAUUUGUGAAAUCUGUUGUUGGGCAAUUGCUUUAAAGAUAUGCUUGGCAAAAAUACAAAGUACUUAAGGAAAUUGCAAGUGUGCUAUCUCUGGAGUUGUUCUCUCCACUGGGUAUCACUGUAUGACACAACUUCUUUUGAUCUUAGGAUGACUUAUCUCCCAAAAUUCCAAAAUGCAAUUUCUUUCCGUUUCUCUGUAGUGUAACAAAAAUAAAAGAAACAAAUGUGUAACA